rnacentral:rRNA from 1 species
UACGUAGGGUGCGAGCGUUGUCCGGAAUUACUGGGCGUAAAGAGCUCGUAGGUGGUUUGUCGCGUUGUUCGUGAAAUUCCCUGGCUUAACUGGGGGCGUGCGGGCGAUACGGGCAGACUGGAGUACUGCAGGGGAGACUGGAAUUCCUGGUGUAGCAGUGAAAUGCGUAGAUAUCAGGAGGAACACCGAUGGCGAAGGCAGGUCUCUGGGCUGACACUGACGCUCAUGCACGAAAGCGUGGGGAGCAAACAGG